rnacentral:lncRNA from 1 species
GGCUGCCUACCCCCGUUCAUCCUCUCUACCUCCUGUUAACCACCCGCUCGUCCGUCGUACCCGGGCCCAUGUACUGCACCACAGGCACAUGCGCCAGCGACCGAGACGUCCUGAGCCACACCGCCACCACCACCGUUUUGGCAUGCCACCACCGGGCCGUCCACUCUUCCGCAGUACGUGACCCCGACAGGUAUGUGAACGUUACUUAGUCAUACACCAUUGAUGAAAUAUUAUCCAAUUCACCUUACUAACUAAUAAUUUAUUAACAUAGCCCCGCAGAUGUACGAAGCUUACAAUGGAGCGGGGCCAUCUUCUGCUGCACCAGGCACAUAGCUGCGCC